rnacentral:rRNA from 1 species
UACGUAGGGCGCAAGCGUUAUCCGGAAUUAUUGGGCGUAAAGAGCUCGUAGGCGGUUUGUCGCGUCUGCUGUGAAAGCCCGGGGCUCAACCCCGGGUCUGCAGUGGGUACGGGCAGACUAGAGUGCAGUAGGGGAGACUGGAAUUCCUGGUGUAGCGGUGAAAUGCGCAGAUAUCAGGAGGAACACCGAUGGCGAAGGCAGGUCUCUGGGCCACUACUGACGCUGAGAAGCGAAAGCAUGGGGAGCGAACAGG